rnacentral:tRNA from 1 species
GCAGCAGGGCGAAAAGCCGCUUUAGCUGCCCUCCGAAGGCAGAGGCCAGGGGUUCGAAUCCCUUCGGGUGCG